rnacentral:rRNA from 1 species
UGAACGCUGGCGGCGUGCUUAACACAUGCAAGUCGAACGCUGAAGCUCCCAGCUUGCUGGGGGUGGAUGAGUGGCGAACGGGUGAGUAUCACGUGAGUAACCUGCCCUUGACUCUGGGAUAAGCCCGGGAAACUGGGUCUAAUACUGGAUAGGACUGGCCAUCGCAUGGUGGUUGGUUGAAAGCUUUUGCGGUUUUGGAUGGACUCGCGGCCUAUCAGCUUGUUGGUGGGGUAAUGGCCUACCAAGGCUUUGACGGGUAGCCGGCCUGAGAGGGUGACCGGCCACACUGGGACUGAGACACGGCCCAGACUCCUACGGGAGGCAGCAGUGGGGGAUAUUGCACAAUGGGCGCAAGCCUGAUGCAGCGACGCCGCGUGAGGGAUGACGGCCUUCGGGUUGUAAACCUCUUUCAGUUGGGAAGAAGCCUUUCGGGGUGACGGUACCUCCAGAAGAAGCACCGGCUAACUACGUGCCAGCCGCCGC